rnacentral:rRNA from 1 species
AGUGAACGCUGGCGGUAGGCCUAACACAUGCAAGUCGAACGGCAGCACAGUAAGAGCUUGCUCUUACGGGUGGCGAGUGGCGGACGGGUGAGGAAUACAUCGGAAUCUACUUUUUCGUGGGGGAUAACGUAGGGAAACUUACGCUAAUACCGCAUACGACCUACGGGUGAAAGCAGGGGAUCUUCGGACCUUGCGCGAUUGAAUGAGCCGAUGUCGGAUUAGCUAGUUGGCGGGGUAAAGGCCCACCAAGGCGGCGAUCCGUAGCUGGUCUGAGAGGAGGAUCAGCCACACUGGAACUGAGACACGGUCCAUACUCCUACGGGAGGCAGCAGUGGGGAAUAUGGGACAAUGGGCGCAAGCCUGAUCCAGCCAUACCGCGUGGGUGAAGAAGGCCUUCGGGUUGUAAAGCCCUUUUGUUGGGAAAGAAAAGCAGCAGGUUAAUACCCCGCUGUUCUGACGGUACCCAAAGAAUAAGCACCGGCUAACUUCGUG